GUUGUUGUUGUUGAAAAAUUUGACGUCUGACAAUUCAGUACAAUAUUUUUUUUCGCACGUGAUAACGCUGAAAAUUAAAGUGGAUACCCUUUAGAACUUGGAAGGACAUACCCCUGACUACAAGAGGAGUUUAUAAAAGUCUUUUUCAGCGAUGAUAAGCUGAAGAAGAUUACUUUAUAUGACAGUGGAACAACAGUACAUUAGGCAGCAGCAGUACAAGGACAAGCGUAUGAAUUCUUAGUCAAACAAGUCUUUGGACAGCGCUUUAGUGCCGACAGUAGAUCGAGAAAACCCCUUAGCCCUUGCAAACAGACACCUCCUCUGUACUUCUUUUGACCUGUACACCGAUUGUAAAAACGUCGCCGCAAGUGAUCGUCGACAAGAAUCCAAUGCCCCCACCAAAUUCAUCUAGGAUAGUCAAGCCCCGCCGAUUACCCAACAAUUACAAGGUGAAACAGGAGCCGAUAGAACGCAGGUCGGUGCCAAAUCCUGCUGACACCAUCCCCAUCAUAUGCCAUUUCUAGUCAAUGAGAAGAGUGCCAAGCUAACGCCCACGAAACCAAGAGGCAUUGAUCUUAAACGAGAGAUAGCCAAGGAGCAGAUAAAGCCCUGAUGUCCAGGAAGGUGCAUCAAAUCGUGUCCCCCGGAGAAUGAUUGGCAGACUAGCUCCACAUUUCACCUUGAGGAUGUCAUUGACAGAAACAUGUCAAAAUACCCUUUAAUAACUAGCCGAAAGCAGGUACAGUGUCUUCAGCAUUUCGUCUCCCUCAGCCGUGGUCAUGGCAAACACUUGGAUCAUUCCCGACUCGUAGAGUCUAGCUGAGACUCCGCACAUUUCCUUAUUCACAUAUUAGACGAAGUUCAUUUCACGAAGGAGUGGUUCUGAGGAAAGGGCGCAGACCUCACUAAAUAUCUGCAAAUUUACGGUCCAAGGUUAGUUGGCACCGUAAAAGUAACGUAAGCAUAUGAGUGUAAGAGCCUUGAAAUUCACCAUUUCGAUAGUCUUCGUCACGAUAUCGCUUUGGGUUUCGGCCAACAUUGCGCUACUUCUUCAGUUGAUAAUCAUCACAAUGCCAUUGACUCAUAUCCAGCCUAUCUGAUAUCGCACUUCGAUCACAUCUGACAUAGAUGUUGGGCAUAUAUGUCGGGUGUGAUCGAAG